rnacentral:rRNA from 3 species
CCCAGACAGCCAGGAUGUUGGCUUAGAAGCAGCCAUCAUUUAAAGAAAGCGUAAUAGCUCACUGGUCGAGUCGGCCUGCGCGGAAGAUGUAACGGGGCUAAACCAUGCACCGAAGCUGCGGCAGCGACACUGUGUGUUGUUGGGUAGGGGAGCGUUCUGUAAGCCUGUGAAGGUGUGUCGUGAGGCAUGCUGGAGGUAUCAGAAGUGCGAAUGCUGACAUAAGUAACGAUAAAGCGGGUGAAAAGCCCGCUCGCCGGAAGACCAAGGGUUCCUGUCCAACGUUAAUCGGGGCAGGGUGAGUCGACCCCUAAGGCGAGGCCGAAAGGCGUAGUCGAUGGGAAACAGGUUAAUAUUCCUGUACUUGGUGUUACUGCGAAGGGGGGACGGAGAAGGCUAUGUUGGCCGGGCGACGGUUGUCCCGGUUUAAGCGUGUAGGUGUGUGUUCCAGGUAAAUCCGGUUCACUUUAACACUGAGGCGUGAUGACGAGGCACUACGGUGCUGAAGCAACAAAUGCCCUGCUUCCAGGAAAAGCCUCUAAGCAUCAGGUAACAUCAAAUCGUACCCCAAACCGACACAGGUGGUCAGGUAGAGAAUACCAAGGCGCUUGA